GAAUGAAGCAAAAGUUCAUUGAGAGUUUAACAAUGUUGAUCAUACAUCUGCAGGAUAUAUAUAUGUGUACAUUAACGAAGCCAUAACUACAUGGAUUUACCUGUAACAAGGACAAGAGGCAAACUAUUUAAAUUGGCAGUGAGGAACUGAAGCAAGGCGAACUCGCGGGAUCCCAAGCUGCUCGGCUAUGAAGCCUGUUAUGAAGAGAUCCUCAAGGUUAAGAAUCAGAGGUUCCAUCAGCAGCGCG